rnacentral:rRNA from 1 species
AGUGAACGCUGGCGGCGUGCCUAAUACAUGCAAGUCGAACGAAGUGGCUCACGGGUGAGUAAUAUAUAGUUAAUCUGCCCUACGCAGAGGAACAACAGUUGGAAACGACUGCUAAUACCUCAUAGAUUAGGAUGAGAAUAUAUCGUAUACGCUAGUUGGUAAGGUAAUGGCUUACCAAGGCUAUGACGCGUAACUGGUCUGCGAGGAUGAUAAGUCACAUUGGAACUGAGACAAGGUCCAAACUCCUACGGGAGGCAGCAGUAAGGAAUAUUGCGCAAUGGGGGAAACCCUGACGCAGCAACGCCGCGUGGAGGAUGACACUUUUCGGAGCGUAAACUCCUUUUAUCAGGAAAGCGGUACCUGAUGAAUAAGCACCGGCUAACUCCGUGCCAGCAGCCGCGGUAAUUC